UACGUAGGCAGCAAGCGUUGUUCGGAGUUACUGGGCGUAAAGAGUGCGUAGGCGGUCUGGCAAGUUCGGUGUGAAAUCUCCCGGCUUAACUGGGAGGGUGCGCCGAAGACUGUUGGGCUGGAGUAUGGGAGAGGCAGGCGGAAUUCCUGGUGUAGCGGUGAAAUGCGUAGAUAUCAGGAGGAACACCGGUGGUGUAGGCGGCUUGCUGGACCAUAACUGACGCUGAGGCACGAAAGCGUGGGGAGCAAACAGG
rnacentral:rRNA from 1 species